UUUCUAUAUUUUUCCUUUUCUUUAAUAUUAUACCAAUAAUAAUAAUAAAACCCUGCCCCGUUUUAAGUAUCUUAAUUCCCGAUCACCGCUACCCUUUCCGAUUGAUCUGAGCCUCAUAACUUAUGUCAGGGCUCUGCCCGACUAAGUUGUUGGGAUUCUAUCUCGGGACUUCGGGACAAGGUUGAAUUAGGAGUAUUAUACUUAACACGAGUGCAUUAUAUAUUUUUAUAUAGCUCAGAAGUUAUACCCAAAAUUUAGACCAGCAGGUUUUCUAGUUGAACCCUAAAGUUACACAGUGAGUCCAUUCAUUUUUCUCACCAUUUUAUUCUCUUUUUGUAUUAUCCCAAAACUAUUAUUAUUUAUUAUUUCUAUUUUGUAAACAACUUUCAUCAAAAGUUAUGCCUAUUAUUUUAUUACCCAAUAGGAAACCCUAGUUGAGACACCCAAGUAAUUCAGCACAAUCCCUGAAAUUUUCAGAAUAAUCAGAAUCAGGAUCAGGGCCCCUAAAACUCAAAGGGGGCAAUUUCCAUUCGAUAUUAUCUUCAAAAAUCUGUUGUCAAAAUUGAAUUUCGUCGUACAAUCGACUCAGCAAGCCUACCCCUAAACGUGUCCACCCUAGGCUAAAAAAUAGACCCGUCGCGCCACGCGACGGGUGCACAUGUUCUUGUCGCGACACGCGAGAGGGACGAUUUUCCAGCUAUAAAUAGUAGGCUGCGGGACUUGAUUUCUGGAGUUGAAACGACGGAAAAUUCCGUCUUACAAUCCGAGUUAUAGCCGUUUCACUAUAAAACACCCACAAUCACGAAUUCUGCUACGAUACAGGGUAUUAACUCGAUCGCUACUACGAUUCGAUGUCCGAUCAAUUGAAACUAUCCAACAGAUGUUUAAGUGCUGCCCACAUUAGGGUUAUACUUUGUCAUUCAUCGUGAUUUCGACUUGAAUGUUUGAGUGCUGUCCAAAUUCGGACUAUACUCUGUCAUUCGUUGUGAAUCCACUGGAUGUUUAAGUAUCACACUUUGUCAUUUGUUGUGAGGGUAUUAAUCUCGUGAGUUCAUCGUAAAUGCUGUAUUAGUUAAUUACCUUGUUUCGGGUACAUUAUCGCUUAAAUUAGGUUAUCAGGCUUAUCCGUAGGCUAAACACUACCCCAUACACUUACAAUCAAAGUAGAUGAUAGUUCUCAGAAGAAUCUGAAUCAUGAAGCUUGUUAAUUCAAUACUGCAUGCUUAUAAUGUAAUUACAGUAGAUUGGAGUAAGGAUUAGACCCAGCACUGAAGGACUUCAAGAAGUGGCUUAUUUCAUUAAUUAAAUCAAAUUAAGAAAUAUCGUUUUUAUAUUAAAAGCUACCUUUGUAAAACAUGGGUUUAUCCCAUCUAUUUAAUAAAUAAAAUCCGGUGUUUCUAAACUCUGAUAUUUUUCCUAACUCACGGUCCUGAUGAAAUUUCCGCUGCAAUGUUUUUCAAAAUAAAAAUAAUCAC
rnacentral:lncRNA from 1 species